CCUACGGGUGGCAGCAGUGGGGAAUAUUGCGCAAUGGGCGAAAGCCUGACGCAGCGACGCCGCGUGAGGGAUGAAGGUCUUCGGAUCGUAAACCUCUGUCAGCAGGGAAGAAAGGUCACUGUGCUAAUCAGCAGUGAAUUGACGGUACCUGCAAAGGAAGCACCGACUAACUCCGUGCCAGCAGCCGCGGUAAUACGGAGGGUGCGAGCGUUAAUCGGAAUUACUGGGCGUAAAGCGCUCGUAGGCGGUAUGGCAAGUCAAGGGUGAAAUCCCCGCGCUCAACGUGGGAACUGCCUUUGAAACUGGCAAACUGGAGUGUGUGAGAGGAUAGUGGAAUUCCAGGUGUAGGAGUGAAAUGCGUAGAUAUCUGGAGGAACAUCAGUGGCGAAGGCGACUAUCUGGCACAUAACUGACGCUGAGGAGCGAAAGCGUGGGUAGCAAACAGGAUUAGAUACCCUAGUAGUC
rnacentral:rRNA from 1 species